GAUGAACGCUGGCGGCGUGCCUAAUACAUGCAAGUCGAGCGAACAGAUGAGGAGCUUGCUCCUCUGACGUUAGCGGCGGACGGGUGAGUAACACGUGGAUAACCUACCUAUAAGACUGGGAUAACUUCGGGAAACCGGAGCUAAUACCGGAUAAUAUAUUGAACCGCAUGGUUCAAUAGUGAAAGACGGUUUUGCUGUCACUUAUAGAUGGAUCCGCGCCGCAUUAGCUAGUUGGUAAGGUAACGGCUUACCAAGGCAACGAUGCGUAGCCGACCUGAGAGGGUGAUCGGCCACACUGGAACUGAGACACGGUCCAGACUCCUACGGGAGGCAGCAGUAGGGAAUCUUCCACAAUGGGCGAAAGCCUGACGGAGCAACGCCGCGUGAGUGAUGAAGGUCUUCGGAUCGUAAAACUCUGUUAUUAGGGAAGAACAAAUGUGUAAGUAACUAUGCACGUCUUGACGGUACCUAAUCAGAAAGCCACGGCUAACUACGU
rnacentral:rRNA from 1 species